GCCUUUUAAUUUACAACUUGGUAAGUGGGGAGGCUGAGGGUCCAUCAUGCCUGCUGGAAAUGUAGACACAGAUCUGGGACUGGUGCAUGGUGAUCGGUGAAGACCUCUGGCUCAUCAGAGAACAAAAUGGAGGCUUUGGUCCCCCACUGUUCCCCAAAGAACCACAGAUCACUGCAGUCUCUGUACACUGUCACAGCCUGUGACUCUGAGGUGCAAAUUUGGCCAUUCCGGAGAGGUAAUUUUAGGGUUUUAGAGUUAUAA
rnacentral:lncRNA from 1 species